GACGAACGCUGGCGGCGUGCUUAACACAUGCAAGUCGAACGGAAAGGCCCCCACCUUGGUGGGGGUGCUCGAGUGGCGAACGGGUGAGUAACACGUGGGUGAUCUGCCCUGUACUUCGGGAUAAGCUUGGGAAACUGGGUCUAAUACCGGAUAGGACCAUGGUUUAGUGUCUCAUGGUGGAAAAAUUAUUGUUUUGGUGCAGGAUGAGCUCGCGGCCUAUCAGCUUGUUGGUGGGGUAAUGGCCUACCAAGGCGUCGACGGGUAGCCGGCCUGAGAGGGUGGACGGCCACAUUGGGACUGAGAUACGGCCCAGACUCCUACGGGAGGCAGCAGUGGGGAAUAUUGCACAAGGGGCGCAAGCCUGAUGCAGCGACGCCGCGUGGGGGAUGACGGCCUUCGGGUUGUAAACUCCUUUCGUUAGGGACGAAGCCACACCUUUUUUGGGUGUGGUGACGGUACCUUUGUUAAGAAGCACCGGCUAACUACGUG
rnacentral:rRNA from 1 species